CUCGUAGGCGGUUCGUCGCGUCCGGUGUGAAAGUCCAUCGCUUAACGGUGGAUCCGCGCCGGGUACGGGCGGGCUUGAGUGCGGUAGGGGAGACUGGAACUCCUGGUGUAGCGGUGGAAUGCGCAGAUAUCAGGAAGAACACCGGUGGCGAAGGCGGGUCCCUGGGCCGUUACUGACGCUGAGGAGCGAAAGCGUGGGGAGCGAACA
rnacentral:rRNA from 1 species